rnacentral:rRNA from 1 species
GACGAACGCUGGCGGCGUGCUUAACACAUGCAAGUCGAGCGGUAAGGCCCUUUCGGGGGUACACGAGCGGCGAACGGGUGAGUAACACGUGGGUGACCUGCCCUCAGCUCUGGGAUAAGCCUGGGAAACCGGGUCUAAUACUGGAUAUGACUCCAUGACGCAUGUUGUGGGUGGAAAGCCUUGUGCGGCUGAGGAUGGGCCCGCGGCCUAUCAGCUUGUUGGUGGGGUGAUGGCCUACCAAGGCGACGACGGGUAGCCGGCCUGAGAGGGCGACCGGCCACACUGGGACUGAGACACGGCCCAGACUCCUACGGGAGGCAGCAGUGGGGAAUCUUGCGCAAUGGGCGAAAGCCUGACGCAGCGACGCCGCGUGAGGGAUGACGGCCU